GGUCACCUUCGGGGGGCCAUACAUAUAGGCGGGCCGGCCUGGCCGCACCCGCCGCUAGCAAACGGAAGACAGAAA
rnacentral:ncRNA from 1 species